GUGGGGAAUCUUCCGCAAUGGACGAAAGUCUGACGGAGCAACGCCGCGUGAGUGAAGAAGGUUUUCGGAUCGUAAAGCUCUUUCGUUAGGGACGAACGUGCUCUUUGUGAAUAAUGAGGAGUAAUGACGGUACCUAAAUAAGAAGCCACGGCUAACUACGUGCCAGCAGCCGCGGUAAUACGUAGGUGGCAAGCGUUGUCCGGAAUUAUUGGGCGUAAAGCGCGCGCAGGCGGGAUAUCAAGUCUGUCUUAAAAGUGCGAGGCUCAACCUCGUGAGGAGGCAGAAACUGGUAUUCUUGAGUGUCGGAGAGGAAAGUGGAAUUCCAAGUGUAGCGGUGAAAUGCGUAGAGAUUUGGAAGAACACCAGUGGCGAAGGCGACUUUCUGGACGAUGUCUGACGCUGAGGCGCGAAAGCUAGGGGAGCGAACGGGAUUAGAAACCCUUGUAGUCC
rnacentral:rRNA from 1 species